rfam:Pseudomonas sp. 21C1 contig00003, whole genome shotgun sequence.
AUCACAGGUGGCGCGGCACUUUUGUGCAGCGCCGAAUGCGCAAUACCUAAACGAAGACGGUAGACAAG